UAGGGAAUCUUCGGCAAUGGACGAAAGUCUGACCGAGCAACGCCGCGUGAGUGAAGAAGGUUUUCGGAUCGUAAAACUCUGUUGUUAGAGAAGAACAAGGACGUUAGUAACUGCACGUCCCCUGACGGUAUCUAACCAGAAAGCCACGGCUAACUACGUGCCAGCAGCCGCGGUAAUACGUAGGUGGCAAGCGUUGUCCGGAUUUAUUGGGCGUAAAGCGAGCGCGGGCGGUUUCUUAAGUCUGAUGUGAAAGCCCCCGGCUCAACCGGGGAGGGUCAUUGGAAACUGGGAGACUUGAGUGCAGAAGAGGAGAGUGGAAUUCCAUGUGUAGCGGUGAAAUGCGUAGAUAUAUGGAGGAACACCAGUGGCGAAGGCGGCUCUCUGGUCUGUAACUGACGCUGAGGCUCGAAAGCGUGGGGAGCAAACAGG
rnacentral:rRNA from 1 species